AUGUUUCUUCCAUUCUUCACUCUGACUCUAACAUUUCCCAUACCUUCUGCAUUAAGUUGCUCAAAGAUUACGCAGUGUCUCCAGAUAUUUUUCUGCCACAAAGCAGUUAUAUUCGAUGAGUAUAGAGCAAUAAAGGGAUCUUCAUACACUUCAACGCUCAUGAAUUUCAUGAAUGAUGGUACAAAGAUUAAGCAGUAUGCUACUGGAGCUUAUGAUUUCCCUUAA